CCUACGGGGAGCAGCAGUGGGGAAUAUUGGACAAUGGGCGAAAGCCUGAUCCAGCCAUGCCGCGUGUGUGAAGAAGGCCUUCGGGUUGUAAAGCACUUUCAGUGGGGAAGAAAGCCUUGGGGCUAAUACCCUCGAGGAAGGACAUCACCCACAGAAGAAGCACCGGCUAACUCCGUGCCAGCAGCCGCGGUAAUACGGAGGGUGCGAGCGUUAAUCGGAAUUACUGGGCGUAAAGCGCGCGUAGGCGGUCUGAUAAGCCGGUUGUGAAAGCCCCGGGCUCAACCUGGGAACGGCAUCCAGAACUGUCAGGCUAGAGUGCAGGAGAGGAAGGUAGAAUUCCCGGUGUAGCGGUGAAAUGCGUAGAGAUCGGGAGGAAUACCAGUGGCGAAGGCGGCCUUCUGGACUGACACUGACGCUGAGGUGCGAAAGCGUGGGUAGCAAACAGGAUUAGAUACCCCAGUAGUC
rnacentral:rRNA from 1 species